rnacentral:misc_RNA from 1 species
AAGUCGUAACAAGGUUUCCGUAGGUGAACCUGCGGAAGGAUCAAUACAAGUAGUGUGAGGGGAUAAGUGGAAAAAAGAAACUGAUUUUACAAUUUAUAAGCACUUUAAUAACUCAUAACAAUGGAUCUCUGGGCUCUU